UUUCAAUCUGCUUAUUUAUAACCAAUGGGAGUUUUUAUAUCAAACUUGACUUUACAUUUUUUUAAUUGGAAUCAUAAGCUGUACUGAAAACUGGAGAGGGCCAUGACAGUUGGAAGACCCCUCCUGAUCCAGCUUCUGUGUUCAUCACGAGCAGUAAAAAUUUGAACACUGCCUCAUUCCAAAGUCAGUGAAGAGCAAGGGACGGGCUGUGUCAGGAGCUGGAACAGAGGCCAGGAAACAACAUGUGUUUCCAUACCAGCUGCAGACAGGUGUGCGGGAGGGGACACCAUGCGUACACGUGUCUCCCAGAAUGAGCGGGUCCCCUUCUCUUCCCACCAAAGUGCCACUGCUUUCAUGGAAGAGGAUCACAGUGAGUCUCCCCAGCAACGAGAAACAGCUGUUCCCAGGGUCUUUCCAAUGACAUGGAAUUACAAACUCUACAGGCAAAACCGAGGUGCCUCUUGGGGGGUGUCGUCCUGAGAAGUAGCCUUCAUUGGAUGCGUGUCCACAGGCCCCCGAACGGGCAGCUUCCUGUAAAACACACUUUGCUUCGUGUUGCUUGAAACUGUCCCUCCAAAAGAGGAUGUGGUCACGUGUUUGUGAUCUUGCCAAAUCUGUCACAGACCAGGACUGUGCAUUCAAUUUUAAAAUUUUGAAUAGCAAAGUACUAGGAGAGGAAGAAUGGCUGAAGUGACAUCACUCGGUGCUGGUUUGGGAAGCUUUCAGAUGUCAUAGAGUUUACCUGAUAGGAUGGGCAAAAAAUAAUAACAAUACUAAUUAAAGAGAAAGACAUAUAUCACAGAUUCCCUAAUUAUUUGUGGGUGUGGGCUAGGCUAUUAUAAAAUAAGCUUUGCCCAGAUUUCUUCCAGAAGUACUGUUCUCAGCGGUCGUGUGAUAAAGAUGGAGCCACGUGGUCUUCCAGAGGUGGAGGUGUGGAUGGGGAAUUGGGCGAAGGUGGUCAAAAGGUACAGACUCCUUUUGUUAUAAAGAUAAGUAAGUCCUGGAGAUGUAACGUACAGCGUGGUGACUACAGAACUGGAGAGAGUCCAUGUGAGGAAUGGGGAAGGCUGUUUUUCGCUACAUUGGCUGAGUCCCUGGAAAAGAUUGCAUCUUGAAUUAGCAGCUUGACCGUCUGCAAUCCAGCCCACCUCCCGUGCCCACCCAUUUCACGUCCCUUGCUCGACUGCACCAGCCCAAUGCUGGGAUGGAUGACAAUUUUCUGACCAGCUUUCACCAGCGAGGAAGCCUGCCUCGAAAUCCAUGAGCUCUCUUGUUCAUUCCCAGGGAGAAGCUCUCACAAAAUGCCCCGAAGCUGGACAAUGUUGAUAAAACCCAAACUCACUCCUUUAUGUCUUCAAGCAACAAGGAUCUGACUGCCCACGGUGGCAACGAGAGCGGCAAGGAUUGUAAGUAAGUCAACAUAGAGGAUCACCUCACAAAACAUGAAAUCGCCAACCUGGUCCACCCCUGGGGCCCAGACAUGCCAGCACUUCGACAGAUUUUAACCCCCUCCCAAGGCGCCACCAAGACACACGGGUCUCCCGUUUCAUGUCCUCAGCACUCUGACAUUUAUCCCCUCCUCCCACCCCGAUAGGAAACACUCACGGCACAGAUGUGUCAAAGCCGGCUGGAUGGAAAACCACGGCCCGUCCAGGGGCUGGCUGCCAAAGUCCGCAGAUCAGCGUGCACUGCCGAUGGCGCCAAAGCCAAAGCAUGCCUGAGACCGUGCAGGUUUUGACAGAUUAAAGCUAGCGUUGGAAUGUUUUAUCGCUGAUGGGCUUCCACGUUCAUCUCAGACUCCUGUCUUGGGGGAGCAUUCUGGCAGACCAGAAGAAUACUUUUCAAAUACAGACUUGCUUGAGGGUUCCCCCAAGAAAAGCCCUCCGAGCCGGGAGAGCACAUCCACGGGAAACAAGAAAGGGCUUCAGGCCACAGGAGUCCCAAGAUGGCAAAAGAUCCAACCUCAGCCGACUGUCCUUCCGGACGCUUACCUGCUCGCUCUUCCUCUGACGGGCCCCCCACCCAUCCCACUCUGCCUGUCUUGGCCCUUAGGACCAGCGCCGACACCCUCAAGGGGCCCGACCCCCUGCCCUGGUCAGCUGCACAAACCAGAGAACCGCUCUUGUUCCGGAGCCCUAACAGAGGGGUCGGGUGCUUGGCAGCUUCCACGUGCUCUAAUCCUCAUCACAACCCCUGAAUUAAAUAGCAUUUCCCAUGUUUCAGAAGCGAAGAAAUGAGGGACUUCCCUGGCCGUCCAGUGGUUAAGACGCCGCGCUUCCUUUGCAGGGGGCGGGGGUUCAAGGGUUUGAUCCCUGGUCGGGGAACUAAGAUCCCACAUGCCACGGGGUGCGGCGAAAAAUUUUUAAAAAUUUUUAAGAAGUGAAGAAAUGAGGCUUUGAGGUUUUAGAACUUGCCCAGGGCCAGGCGCCUGCGAAGAGAGCUGGGCUGAAACCCCAGGCAGUGGGCCUCGGAGCCCGCUCUGUAAAUGCCUCUCCUGUUCUGCCUGGACGUCCGAGCCUCAGCCGGGCUGCCAGCUGCCAACAUCUGCAGCGGCUAAACUGUGGGGCUUGGGGGUGGGUUUACGUGGUGUGUGGCUAUGGCCACAGACCAAACAAAUGCUUUAGUUCUUCCAAGGGAAAAGGAUGGCGUGAGCCGUGGAUACGGGUGGCCACGUGGUGACUUCACGUCCCAGGGCCCUUUAUCCGCUAGCAGAGCGCGGUCCCCGCCCGGGGCUGCAGGCAGCGACUCAGCUGUUUCGGGAGCAAAUCGUGAGCAGAUCAAGCGCAGAAAUUCUCGGCCCCCAAGUAUAUUCACAGGAUACGGAGCGAUUCAGCUCUCACGUCUAUUCGAGGAUCUUCGCAGGAAGGACUUCGGAUCAGCUCAUUUUACUGCCGUCCGCGGGCACAAACACGGAGCUCUAGCAGGGCCCAGAUCAGAGCAAGCCAUCCAGAGCUGCAGCGCAGCCCGGGCCCCGGAGAGGAUGCAGAAAGUUAACACCCACCCCGGCCAUCCUUCACCACAGCAGGUGGCCCUGGCUGCAGGCUGAAGACCCAGCCGCCAACCUCAGGGGAAGGGGAAGAGACCACCUGGGACAAAAGGAGCCUGUGAGGUGACCGCUCUGCUCCGUUAGUGUGCCUCCUGGCCCCCUGGGGAGGCGUGUUCUGAGCAGGGAAGUGGCCUCAGAUCGGGGGCUCCUCUACUCCUCGCAGAAAUGAUCACAAAUAACAACAGCUGGGACAGCUCCAGUGAACCACGUGCACGCCGUUCCGUGUUCGAUGCUGUACAUACAGCUUCUCUAUCAAGACUUUCCAGAGCUCUGGGAGGGGGUUCUAUCACUAUACCCAUUUUAUUUAUUUUUAUCUUUUUAUUGAAGUAUAGUUGCUUUACAAUGUUAUGUUAGUUUCUGCGGUGCAGUGAAAGGAAUCAGCUGUGUGUUACCUAUAUCCUCUCCCUCUCGGAUCUCCCCUCUUCCCACCCCCCCGCCCCACCCAUCUAGGUCACCACAGAGCACCGAGCUGUAUACCACAGGUUCCCACUAGCUGCCAAUUUUACACAUGGUAGUGAGGCAGAGAGAGGUCUGAACUCAAGUCUGCUGUAACCAGGACCCUGCCUCUCAGCAUAACCUCUGACCUCCCAAGAUGCCCUGCACCCUGCCCUCAAGGUCGCCCACCCCGUCUUAGAACUGAAAAGGAAUGAAAGCACUCUUCUUCAAAGGAAAACUGAGGAUGCUUUGUAAGAAUCAGUUACAGGCUCACUUUGUGUUCCAAAAUUUUUCAGAGAUGACUGAAAUCAUGUCUUCAGACAUAAACUUCGAAAUAUCCCUCUAAGGAGCUCAAAAAUCUCCGUUUUAGAGGCCAUUUCCCUGGGCAAGUCCCCAGCACUUCACUUGCACACGGCUAGGGAUCUCCAUAAAGGAGACACCGAGGCAGGGGAGGCCCUGACUUCAUGGUCUGUUAGGAGGAGCCUGGAGGAAAUAAACAAGUUAUUUUGUCCUGCACUCAUGUGCUCUGUCCCGACACCAGCGGGGAGAGUCCUCAGAAUUCAGUGACUAAUCAGGUGAUGGGCCGUAAAGCACACCCCUGAAUGUCAUCAGGGCCCAGACAUUUGCACUGGGAAUCCAGAAAUAAGCUGUCACCAAAAGGAUGUGUGCCCGCUGGAAAUAAUUUCCAGAACAUGUUUCGUAAUGUAGAGCCGGGACUCAGCGAGCCAGGCAGGAAAGGUCAAGACCAGCCCCUGGUCCUUCCCAGCGGGCCUCAUCUCCUGCCUGCCGGGGCCUCACAGCAACUGCCCCUGCUUGCUGCCUGUCCCUGAGCCCCCAGGUCCCUUCCCAACAACCGACAGCAGAGCCGACUGUCCUGGCACCGCGUCCUGCCAUGUCACUCCACUAUCGCUGAAGGCAGAUCUCACCGCUACCUCGACUGGUCUUAAACAUGUUUUGAGUAACUCAAAAUUUAGUAAGUAUUUUAUUCACCAUACAUUUAGAUGUCAAGUAAUUACCGGUACCAGAUUCUCCGUGUAUCAAAUAUGCCUGAAUUGAAUGACAUGUUUUAAAAUAACUUUUCUUUUCCAAGUAACAUUUACUCAGGGUAGAGAAUGUGAAUGACACCUUUAAAAGAAUUCUGCCCAAGGAGAGUGCACAUUCAAAUAAUAUUUUUUUUUAACAUAAAACUUACGAGUAUCUUCUUUAUACUCUUGAUUGCUUUUUGGUUAGGACAAAGGAUGGGGCUGCUGAUAAGAAUACAGACAUUCAGUGAGUAGAUUUAUGAAAAUCGGUUCUUUGGGAACUGUUUUUGAUUGGGAUCUAUCGGACCAAAGUGAACAUUUCUCAGUGCAAACUGGAUCCUCCAACUGAAAAUGACCAACACAAUAAGUUUUAGUUCCCAGGGCACUGGCCUCUAUCCUACUGAUACCUUUUAAGCACUUGUACAUUUCUUAAGAACAAAUCAAUUACCUCAUUAUGUUUGUUUAUGAGCAGAGUUACUUGUGAAGUCAAUCGGGGAUCAAACUUGCCAGGACAAAGUGUACCAGCCUGCGGAGGGGCAGGAUAGGAUCUGAUGAGGCUUGACGUGAAGACUCAGGAUUAAAGUUUCUGUCACACAGAAGCCCCCAUCUCUGCAGACACAGGCCAGGGCGAGAGAAUGAGUUUGCUUCUGCCACAAAUUCAGUUAUUACCGAAAGGAUCUUAAACACUGAGAAUCUGAAACUCUUUGAUUCUGAUCCCUUUAGGAAAUUCAGGUACCUGUGAAUGAUUCAUUUGGUCGCUGGAGGAAAAUCAAAUCUGGGAAAGAUUUACGCUGGUUAAUGAAUAACUUGGAACUAACUGAUGAUUAUACAACAAGGGAAGGGAAGGAGAGGGAUACUGGGGGUCUGUGCCUGACAAGCACGGGUGCUGGGCGCUCACACCCACCAGUUCACCCAGGCCCCAGGGAACCAGACAGAAGUGACCUUUCUGAGCACAGAACUGGGGUUGCCAAGUGACUGGGAAGAGAGUCUUCCUGGUUGGCUGGUACGUCCGGUGUGUGUUUUGGGGGGAACAGGGAGAAGAACAGCUGUGUAACGGAUGAUUUGGAGCAACUAAAGGGGAAAAAAGCAUCAAUUCAGUCAAGUGACAAGUAAACAAAUGAGAAGGCGGAAAGCCACGGCCCAGCGAACACAGCUCAGAAUUCAAGUCUACCCUGUCUGUCUUUGCACUGUGCCUCCAGAAAGCAACUUUUUUUCUUUUUUAAAUGUAUAACACAUUAUUCUCAAAAGUCAAAAGACCUCUUAAUCAUUUCGGCUAAAAGAGAUACACGCCACACAGCACAUGUGAAGGGACAUCUCAGCCGCGUGGAAGGGUGUUGGAACUAGCUCUGGAAUCACCCGGUAGGAAGUUUUAGAAAAUCCCUGCUGGCGUCUAAACAGAACAGCUCCUACUUCUAUGUGUGUUCUCACUUGUGUAUUGGCAUCGAUUGCUGUAUCCGCUUUGUUU